GGCGAACGGGUGAGUAAUAUAUCGGAACGUACCGAGUAAUGGGGAUAACUAAUCGAAAGAUUAGCUAAUACCGCAUAUUCUCUGAGGAGGAAAGCAGGGGACCUUCGGGCCUUGCGUUAUUCGAGCGGCCGAUAUCUGAUUAGCUAGUUGGUGGGGUAAAGGCCUACCAAGGCGACGAUCAGUAGCGGGUCUGAGAGGAUGAUCCGCCACACUGGGACUGAGACACGGCCCAG
rnacentral:rRNA from 1 species